GGCGCGAUCUCGGCUCACUGCAAGCUCCGCCUCCCGGGUUCACGCCAUUCUCCUGCCUCACCCUCUCGAGUAGCUGGGACUACGGGCACCCGCCACCACACCCAGCUAAUUUUUUGUAUUUUUAGUAGAGACGGGGUUUCACCGUGUUAUCCAGGAUGGUCUCCAUCUCCUGGCAUGAUCCGCCCGCCUCGGCCUCCCAAAGUGCUGGGAUUACAGGCGUGAGCCACCGUGCUCGGCCUAUUUUAAUCUUUAAAAUGAAAAAUCUGAUUGCCUGUGGAUCUAUGACAAAAGAGUGAUAUAUUUCAUAAAUACUUUAACUAAAAACAUAUGAAUGAAUUAAUAUUUUAGUUUACUACCAAGGUAAAGAAAACAAAUGUAGUAUUGUUUCUUCAUCUCUGGGUUACCACAUUGGAGAAAAAAGAUGAAUAUGAAUUAAUAUUUGAAGAAAUAUUUCUCUUAAGUCUCUGUUAGGUAGCACGUAAGGACAUACUCCUGGUUCUCCUUUGGAAAAUGUAACAUUUGCAUUGGUUGAUGUGACCUUCUCCUUACUUUCCAGUGGCUUCCAACUCGUUUCUGUACAUUGCGUCUCUCCAGACCACACAGCUCUCUUGUGUUACUGUGAGAAUGACAACACCUCUGUUGCAGCAUCAUUAGCGAUAUCCCACAGAGGAAAAGCACUGGUAACACGCAGCAAAACCUGUAUAUUGCUCAGUUCAGACACAUAAUGAAGCAUACCACGAAUAAAGAGAAUUCAAUAAGACCAGGAUCCUGCAUUACAGAAUUGCAAGUUUGGGCAUCAAGAGACACACUCACGCGGGGAAGAACACGUGAAGACACAGGGAGGAGACAGGGUUUACAUAAAGUCAAGGAGAAGGGCCUGAAACAUUCUUCUUUCACAGUCUCGCAUAAGGAACCAACCCUGCCGAAACCUUGAUCUCAGACUUCCAGCCUCAAGAACUGUGAGAAAAUAAAUU
ensembl:lncRNA novel transcript